rnacentral:snRNA from 1 species
AUUUCUUCUGCUAACGGCCUUUUGGCUAAGAUCAAGUGUAGUAUCUGUUCUUAUCAGGAGGGGUGUUAAAGCCUCUGCUGGUGUGACAGAGAAACAUUUUAUCCUCUGGUCAAAGGCCCUAGCAUUAUAAAAGCCCGAGGUAUUAUGCCCCCUA